CGAAGGGUGCAAGCGUUACUCGGAAUUACUGGGCGUAAAGCGUGCGUAGGUGGUUUGUUAAGUCUGAUGUGAAAGCCCUGGGCUCAACCUGGGAAUUGCAUUGGAUACUGGCAGGCUAGAGUGCGGUAGAGGGUAGUGGAAUUCCCGGUGUAGCAGUGAAAUGCGUAGAGAUCGGGAGGAACAUCUGUGGCGAAGGCGACUACCUGGACCAGCACUGACACUGAGGCACGAAAGCGUGGGGAGCAAACAGGAUU
rnacentral:rRNA from 1 species